rnacentral:lncRNA from 1 species
GAGAUUAAAAAGCUACACUCUGUUGUGCUUAGAUCAAACGCCUGUUAUUCGGCAGAGGUAAUUAACCUUUAAAGUGCUGGCGGUUUUUUUUUUUAAUUAUUAUUAUUUCCUUUUUGGAAUCUUCAGCUUUUAAAGGAAUCUUCCAAAGCUUUCUUUGAUGUUACACAUUUCCAACACCCGUAACAGCAUCUCCGAGGGUCGGUCAAUGGAGGCUUGAGCUCUUGAAAGCUUUCCUUUUGUUCUCUCCCCCUCCCCUUCUACGUUUCCCUCUCUUGACUUUCUUUUAAACAGAGUUGGGAAUGAAACAGCAGACAGAUAACCCACCAGAGCGAGACAGCUUCAGGUGCAGCUCAGGGAUGGUGACCGUGAGGUUGUAGAGUGACAGAAAACUGAGACACCAGAUGCCAGGUCUUCCAACAAGAUGUCAGUAUAUUAAAGAUAAUGCAGCGAUUCUUGCACUAUCUUUAAUUUGGACUUCGGGGAUGCCAUGCCAUCAGCAACCUGGCAUGACAGAGAGGAUGUCUGCUGGUCUUGCCAGGAUGUUGGCAAGAUGCCACCGCUGUCACCUUCUCUGGUGACUUGUGGCCUUCUCAGUUGCCUCGACCUCUCUGCUUGCCAGUGCAUGAAUUUGGGACAUUCAGCUGCUUGGGAAAACAAUUCUGGAAGCUCUGAAAAUCAAGGUGACACAAAAGAAACCAAUGGCGUGGAAAACACCCUGACAUGGAUGCCUUAAGCCUAACUGGGAAUUUCUGAGAGCAAUGGGAUUGUCAUCAGCUGCCUCUCCUGAGAACUUUGAUUAGACUAACAAAAAGAUAACCUGGAGUGAAGCAAGCUGUAUAGAAAUACGUACAGUCAAUUCAGGAUAUUUUUCUUUUCUGGGAAUUUAAUAAAUUAGUUAUUACCUCAUUACUUUUCUAUACU